rnacentral:rRNA from 1 species
GACGAACGCUGGCGGCGUGCUUAACACAUGCAAGUCGAACGAGUGGCUAACGGUUUAGUAAUACGUGAGUAACCUGCCCUCUUUUUGGGAUAAGCCUUGGAAACUGGGUCUAAUACCGGAUAAAGGGGGAUGGGCUCGCGGCCUAUCAGCUUGUUGGUGGGGGGAUGGCCUACCAAGGCGGUGACGGGUAGCCCGCCUGAGAGGGUGACAGGCGACAUUAGGAGUGAGAUACGGCCCAGAAUGCUAAGGGAGGAAGCAGUGGGGGAUAGUGCACAAUGGGCGAAAGCCUGAUGCAGCGACGCCGAGUGGGGGAUGAAGGCGUACGGGUUGUAAACAUCUUUCGCUAUCGAAAGGGUAGGUGGAGAAGAAGCGCCGGCUAACUACGUGCCAGCAGCCGCGGUGAUUC